rnacentral:RNase_P_RNA from 1 species
CCAGUUGGCCGGGCAGCCGCGCUUCGCUAGGGCCGAAAGGCUGCGAGGGGAGGAAAGUCCGGGCUCCACGGAAACACGGUGCCGGAUAACGUCCGGCGAGGGCGACCUCAGGGACAGUGCCACAGAAAGCAAACCGCCGCUUGUUAGCGGUAAGGGUGAAAGGGUGGGGUAAGAGCCCACCGCGUCUAUGGUAACAUGGUCGGCACGGUAAACCCCACCGGGAGCAAAACCGAAUAGGGACAACGUGGGAUGCGUAAAGCAUUCCGGCUGGUUUCCAGGCCAGUUGUCCGGGUGGGUUGCACGAGGCCGGGCGCAAGUCCGGUCCCAGAUGAAUGGCUGCCACGUUCCGGUUUAACCGCCGGGGCCAUACAGAACCCGGCUUACAGGCCAACUGGCAUC